GGAAAACCACAUUGGAGAAGACUGCACAUUAUAUCCACCUCCAUCCUCUUUGCUUACACCCUUGAGAAGGCAUAAUCUUUUCACACCACUUCCAUCAAGUCAGCUCCUGUCUUGGCCACUUUUUUUGGAGAGUGUUUAACACGCUGCAUAGACGUACAUAAACAUGUGGUGAGUGCAGAAGAAGACUACUGAAAUCGAGGACCCCGUUAAUGGAGCAGCCCACCAUUCAUCCAGGAGAGAACCAUGUCCACAGAAAUGGAGGUGCUGCCUGAGCCUGAUGAGACCCAGUGCUGUUUUAGAAACAACUAACAAGAUUAAGAGGCUCUUCCUUGGAAUCAACCCCGAGAGUUGAACGAAUUAAGGCCACCCAGGGGAAGGUGGUGUCAAAGAGGACGGGAGGCUGGUCCAUAAGCUAGUGUGAAUCCCCAUGUGGCGACCCUCAUCAAAAACUUCUUGGACUUUGAGUGGAGAUUAAUGUAGCCGACAACCCAUCGCCACACAAGAUGUUCAUGUUCUUCAGUUAAGUUCUGUUCAGUUAAAUUGUGCAGUUGCAGGUUAGUUGUUGAUUUGUUGUUCCAUUAAAUGCAAUGUGUUAUCUGAAUGAGUUUUUUAACACAUGCAUUUUCGUAUGGCAAUAUAAGCCUGUGUAAUGUUUUUAUGGA